AGAAAUAAUGUGUACACAAUUUUUACCAGACAGACAGACAGAGUGAGUUGAUAUAAGCUUUGUAAAAACGAUUUUUAUUUCUGAUUACUUCAAAUAGCUUUAGAAAACAAUUAAGAGAGAUAUAAUUACACAAAAAUAUUUCCGACAAAUAAGCCUUCUGAAUCCUGACUAUGAGUUACCAGUAUUUAAAAAAAAACUAUCAUUUUUAAAAAGUGAAAGUAAUGAUCAAAAAUAUGAAUCAUCAUGACUGGAUACUAACUGUAGAUCUGCAGAGUUAGAUCUGUGCUUAAAAAAUUAAGCUUUUUAAAGGACAUAAAACAAAAAAGUCAGAAUGUCAUUUUCUACCCAUGAACAAUGGAAAAUAAUAUUCUUUGUGGCUAGGAAUGAGACUUGACUCUUCAUAAACUUAUUGUCUAUAGUUUCAGGCUUUUUCUCUUUUAGUCUCAUUCAGUUCCCCUGUUGAAGAGAUGCCAGAGGUUGAGCACACAAGAGAGUCCUUCAUAUUCCUAUUCUGUACUGCCACAGUCUGUGAUAGAGCCAUGACAAUUGUGAGAAAGUCAGAGCUUUGGGAUGAGGAAUUAGUGCACAAUAUGUUGAGAAAAUAAAUUGAUCUACAGCACCACAAUUAGAUCUAGCAAACAAAGAAAAAAUAUGCUGGAAUGUUAAGAAACACUUGACCUCUGUAACUAAGGUACGGAUAUAAUUUAUCUAUAUG